CAACCCUCAAGCUCUGCUUGGUAUUGGGCCUCGCCGGUUACACGGCGUGCCUUAAAAUCAGUGGCGGUGCCAUCUGGCUCUAAGCGUAGUACAUCUCUCGCUCUAGGUGCCCGGUGGAUGCUUGCCAGCAACCCCAAUUUCUUAA
rnacentral:misc_RNA from 1 species